AAAAUUAAUAGAAUGGAAGCAUAGUUUAGCAUCAUUACAAGUUAUAUUGAGGAGUGGAGGUAACUGUGUUUUACUUUUAGGACACAUUGCAGCUUGAAAAACCAAGAUGUGAAAAAUCAUGUCGGAAAUUCAGUGCGGCAUAUGUAUCAUAAAUUUUGUCAGACAAAUUCAGGAACUUUCUCCCACUUGUAGAGAUGGCAGCUGAAAUGAGUACCAAACCGGAACAGAACAGCUACAGAAAUGGAA
rnacentral:misc_RNA from 1 species